GACGAACGCUGGCGGCGUGCCUAAUACAUGCAAGUCGAACGAGUGGCGGACGGGUGAGUAAUAUCUCGGAACGUCCCUGGUGAAGGGGGAUAACUAAUGGAAAGAUUAGCUAAUACCGCAUAUUAUUCGAGCUGCCCAUAUCUGAUUAGCUAGUUGGUGGGGUAAAGGCUGACCAAGGCGACGAUCCGUAGCUGGUCUGAGAGGAUGAUCCGCCACACUGGGACUGAGACACGGCCCAGACUCCUACGGGAGGCAGCAGUGGGGAAUAUUGGACAAUGGGCGCAAGCCUGAUGCAGCCAUGCCGCGUGUAUGAAGAAGGCCUUCGGGUUGUAAAGGACUUUUGUCAGGGAAGCGGUACCCGAAGAAUAAGCACCGGCUAACUACGUGCCAGCAGCCGCGGUAAUUC
rnacentral:rRNA from 1 species